GGUCAGUGUCGCUCUUGCUCCCUCUUGCUCUUUGGCAUGAAAGCCACUUCCGAGUUCCGCUGACGUGCUUUCUCCGCUAGCACCGACCCUUGCAGGGAUCCUGCAGCCCAUGUCUGCUGCCGCUGUAAAUGAAGCUCUCCUGCUGUGUGUUUGUCUGAACUUGGCCUGAUCGGCUCUGCGCUGAAAGCGUGAUAAAGGACUGCAGUUUUGCCUCUACGUCUGUGUUGCAUCCACGACUGCUCUACCUCUACGAGUGUCUUGCCUGCCUGACUGAGUGUUGCCUGGACGGCUGGUCUGCCCUCACGGCUGUGUCUGUCUGCACAGCUGGCUUGCCUGCCCUACUGUGCUUCCCCGCUACCCUACUGCCUGGCGGGUGUUGCUCUUGGCCUGCAUUGGCUGCAUAGCCUCUUGGUAUCACUGUGCCUUUGUGUCACCUUGCCCUUCAGUACGGGACCAUAUUUUAAACAUUGUUAUCGCGGACUGUUCGAUUAAUCUCUGUUUAUGAUUAGUUAUUUUAUUGAGUUAAGUUUGUUUUGUUUAUUUAAUUCAAGAUUAAGUAGACCGUUAGGUUGAUUUCCGUUCCUUUGGUUUAGUUUUCGACCCUGUUGCUCUAAAUUUGUUUUGUUUAUUUCAGUUAAUAUCAGUUAACUGAAAACAGUAUUUCGUAGUAUUCUUGACUUUUUAUUGUCUUAUACUUAUCUUAUGUGUUGGUCUGUGUAUUAAUUUGUGUUGACUGUUUAUCCCAGUAAUUGUGUCUUGUUUGCCCCUCUUUAGUUGCUGAGAGCCAAACGUGUGGUGCUGGUGUCCCCGGUGGUGGCUUCCCCCUUUGUGUGUCGUGCUGUGCUCCCCCCUGAUUUGUGUUCCUUCGUGUGAGUGUGUAGUGAUCACGGGUGCCUUAAUUUACUUUGUUGGGAUCCCUCUCACCCCUCGUCACCUCCACACACUGGUAAGCCUCAGCAUCCCUGAAUUAAGAUUUCCCCUUUUCUUUCCAGUGUGUAUGAUGAUCUUACUGUGUUUCUAAUGAUAUUUUAAUGCCAGAAAUAAAACAUUUGAUCAAUUGGAA